rnacentral:rRNA from 1 species
GGCGGCCGUAACUAUAACGGUCCUAAGGUAGCGAAAUUCCUUGUCGGGUAAGUUCCGACCCGCACGAAUGGCGUAACGACUUGGGCGCUGUCUCGAGGGGGGACUCGGUGAAGUUGAAGUAUCCGUGAAGAUGCGGAUUACCCGCGGCAGGACAAAAAGACCCCGUGGAGCUUUACUGUAACCUGGCAUUGUGCUUGGGUCUCAGAUGUGUAGGAUAGGCGGGAGGCUAUGAAAUUUUGGCGUCAGCUGAGAUGGAGCCGUCCUUGAAAUACCGCCCCUCUUAGAUUUAUGUACUAACCCCUGAGCAAGCAGGGAGACCGUGUCAGGCGGGCAGUUUGACUGGGGCAGUCGCCUCCCAAAAGGUAAUGGAGGCGUACAAAGGUUCGCUCAGGGUGUAUGGAAACCACCCGCGGAGUGCAUUGGCAUAAGCGAGCUUGACUGUGAGGCAUACAAGCCGAGCAGGGACGAAAGUCGGUCAAAGUGAUCCUACGGCCCCGUGUGGAAGGGCCGUGGCUUAACGGAUAAAAGCUACCCCGGGGAUAACAGGCUGAUCCCUCCCAAGAGUUCAUAUCGACGGAGGGGUUUGGCACCUCGAUGUCGGCUCAACGCAUCCUGGGGGUGAAGGCGCUCCCAAGGGUCCGGCUGUUCGCCGGUUAAAGCGUUACGCGAGCUGGGUUCAGACCGUCGUGAGACAGGUCGGUCUCUAUCCGCCGUGGGCGUAGGAGAUUUGAGGGAAGCUUUUCCUAGUACGAGAGGACCGGAAAGGACAGACCGCUGGUGUGCCAGUUGUAUCGCCAGAUGCAGCGCUGGGUAGCCAUGUCUGGAAGGGAUAAGCGCUGAAAGCAUCUAAGCACGAAGCCCCUCCCAAGAUGAGAUCUCCCACCCUUUUUAGGAAGGGUUAAGGACGCAGGAAGACUACCUGCUUGAUAGGCCACAUGUGGAAGUACAGCAAUGUGCGGAGCUUAGUGGUACUAAUCGUCCGAGGGCUUAACCAUUUA